GGUCUAAAUAAAGUCCAUAUGCAAGGAGUACCUCUUUAGAGCUGCUCUUUCCACCUGAUCACCAGUAUGAAUACUCUUACUUUGAUUCUGUUUUUGAGUCUACAAGCUCUACUCAUCCUCACUGCACCGACGGACCACAAAGUCCAGGCAGAAGAGGGAAAUGAGCAGCACCAAACCAACACAAAUGUGACUGACACAAGAUCUGGGCCAACGUGUGUUUGGUUCAGUGGAGUGUGCAGACGGAUCAAUGCACCACCACAAACUAAAAAGCAGAAGCAAACAACUUCAAAAACACGUUCAAGGUACCGCCCAGGAAGCCAUGCGCCCAUCAUUAUUACGUAAAACCAAAUACUGAUAAAGGAAUACAGGUUUAUGGACAACGCAAAAGCAACAUAAUGGUUAUAGAGAGAAUAUGGCAUUACGUGAUAUAUAUACACAGGUAGACUCAAGUAGAAGUACAAAGUAGUGGUCCAAGGAAUUACUCAAGAAAUAAUAAUAAUAAAAAAGACUACUGUUACUGUUAAUAAAAGUGUGAUGCUUGAAAAGUACAAUUUCUUUAAAACAGUUACUCAAGUAAAUGUAACCGAGUAAAUGUAUAGGCCUAUAUUAACAUUGUACCUUUUAUAACUAUCUUAAAACAAAAUAAAACAAAACAGAUAUGGAUGGAUAUAUUUAGGAGUCACCAAACUGUGUAUAUUUGAAAAUGAGCUUGUUUGUAUGUAUUAUGCUUGUUUUAAUAAUGACAUAUCUACAAAAUUGAACCUAUAUCCUUUAACGCUUCCAAGUAUACUCUCAGUGUAUGAUGUACUCAUGGUAACUAAUAAAGCUCCCAUACUC